UACGUAGGGUGCGAGCGUUGUCCGGAUUUAUUGGGCGUAAAGAGCUCGUAGGCGGCUCAGUAAGUCAGGUGUGGAAACUCCAGGCUCAACCUGGAGACGCCACCUGAUACUGCUGUGGCUAGAGUCCGGUAGGGGAGCAUGGAAUUCCUGGUGUAGCGGUGAAAUGCGCAGAUAUCAGGAGGAACACCAGUGGCGAAGGCGGUGCUCUGGGCCGGAACUGACGCUGAGGAGCGAAAGCGUGGGGAGCAAACAGG
rnacentral:rRNA from 1 species